rnacentral:lncRNA from 1 species
CUGAUACUGACAAUUUGAAAAUACUUGAGUUCAAAUUCAUCCAUAACGAACAACCAUUUCCUUCUCUCAUUAAUGACCACAUUAUAAUCAAUCCUAUCUUUGAUCCUGUAGUGGUCAGAGCAAAAAUGGAGACGGCUUUGUUGGGUGGAGGAGAAGGCAGCAGUGGCGACCAAAGAAGGGAUCGUAGGAACUUGUUUAACAGAACAGAUGCCAUUGCUUAUGGAUCAACAUACCAGAAGGCCGCUGCUUUGGUUGAUCUCGUAUGUUUCUUGUUUUUUUAUGUUAAGUUUCAUAAUAUUGAAUAAAAAUGUUGUAGCAGUAUAGUUUAGCUGGUAAUUCAAUGUGGGUAUGUCUGUACAUUGAAGAAUAUGAUGUUAAAGUUGAUGAAGAUAUAAUAGAUUCUGUUAAAGCGUCUAUUUUAAACGCAAUUGGUAUUGAAAAUGGGGAUUCCGACUUUACUGAAUUCUUGGAAAGUCUAUUAAGAAAAGUGGACGUGUGUAGGGAUAUUUUGAUCUUGAUAAUUUGCUUAAGAUAUGAAAUUUCUUUGAAUUACGAUUGGGUGAUGGUUUUUGCAAGUUGUACUUUUCACAUUUGUAAUGACGUGGGCACCUUAAGUUAGUAUGUUUGUGGUGGAUUAAUUACUUGGUAUCAAGAAUUUUUAUGAAGGAAAAGAUAGUCUGUGGUGGAAGGUUUUGGGUCCGUGGCAACUGGCAUUAGAGAACGACUUACUGUAAGUGUAGAAAUAGUGGAUAUUUCGAACUUACUGAAUAUAUUUCUUUCUGAAUAUAAUUCUUUUGUCAAUUCAAUUCACCACCUGGAUUUGUAAAUAGUGAAAGUGUUAUGGAUUCAAGUUAAGUUUUACUGGCCCCAGAAAAUGGGAACGUUUCUUAUAUUGGUGACCACAAAUAAACAUGAUUACACUCUAUUCAGCAUUUUUUACUGCAUCGUAGACCAAAAUUGUUCCUGAAGCCUUGCAUGGUUGACCGAACUCAUUUCAUUUGGUAUUGAAGUCACCUAUGAGGUGCUAUCCCUCAUCUGAACUCUGGAUGUGGAUUGUCAAUAGACUGGAUGCUACAAGAAUAGUACGUAUUUUUCUGUUUUUGUUUUUUGUUUUCUUUUUGGGGGGUGGGUGGGUGGUGUGAGGGGUUGAUAAGACCUUGCCUUCAUAACACCUGGACUCAUAUCAGUUUGGUGGUAACUACUACUUGGAUGCUCAAGCAUUUCCGGAUCAGUUGGCUUGUGCCAAUGCUAAGUAGAUUUCUGGGGCGUAAUUCCAACACUGGAAUAUCAAGGAAAUUAGAGGAUACCUUCAUGCGUAUUAAAGGAUGAGAAUGUCAUCAGUACAGUACCUUGGAUAGAGACAUAUUCCUGAAAAUAUCUGGAAUGCUUAUAGCAAUCUCUGCUUGCCCCCCCUUUAUAAUGAUUUGAAAUAUCUCUUGCAUUUGCAGGCUGAAGAUGGUGUUGGUAUACCUGAGGAAAUUCUUGAUAACUCGAGCUUUGCAAGUUCUCUGAAAUCCUACUUCAUAUUUAUUCGAUUUGACUUUCUCUGGUCUCUUAACUACUUUGCAUUAAUCAUUCUAAAUUUCUUUGAGGUUUGUGUAUCUUCCUAACUCCUAGUAUAUCUAUUUUUUCUCUUUUUUUGUUUGACAUUAAAUAAUUAUUUAUGAUUUAGAGAUAUUUUUUAUUAUUAUUAUUUUUUUUAAGUUCAAUAUUUGUUGGAAUUGAUACUUAAAACUACGUUUGGUUUACAUCCGCAGAAACCUCUAUGGUGUUCUGGGUAUUGCAAUAAUAGAGGUUACUACUUUCUCGGGCAGCUGCCAUACUUGACUGGUGCUGAGAGUCUUGUAUAUGAGGUAAGGUCGAAAUAGUACACCCAACAUCAUGGAUGAAUAUUUAUCUGAAUUUUGGCUAUUGCUAUAGUUGCCUUUCUUUGACCAUAACAAAUUGGAUUGAAGAAAAAAUAAGUUGUACUAAUUUUUCCUUUUUGGGGUUGGGGGCGGACAUAAGAUCCAGAAAUUUUGAUUUAAAUAUUUAAAAAUAUAUAACAAAACAAUCAUCUGUGAGGCUAAUAUAGAUAUUAGACGUGCUUGUGUUCAAAAAUCAUUUUAGCAGAAGAAAAAAUCUACAGUGGAUAACGAUUAACAAAGAUAGUGAAACGGUCGAACCAAAACUCCACAUCCUUAGAUUUUAUGCUUUUGAUGAGAAGAUGGAAUGAAAAGAAUGAGAAGUCUGUAAAAACAUGCCAGAUUCGGAAUGUCUUUUAAACAUUGGUAUGUAUUCUAUUGUACUAACAACUCUGGCAGUCAAUUAUUGGAUGCUCGCCUGCUAUAAAAGUUGCACAGAUCUCAGUUGUUUUAGGUCAAUGAUUGACACUUUUGGUUAGUGAUGAAUAAAUAUAAACUAAUUUUUGAUAGCCAAAAAAAGCUGAAUGGGCAGUUGCCGUGUACAAACUUAUUUAUCAAGCAGGAGUAAGAAAAAGAACAAGAAGUCCUUAAAAUGAAAAAUAUACAUAGGACACAAAAUUGAAUUUAAUGGCAGUCAACAAGGCAUGCAGUUUUUCUGGUGUUGUAUUAUCCAGUGUUACAAGAACCGGACCCCUGUCAGUUCAACCUGGAAAAAUGGGGGAACCGGUCUAGAAACAGAAAAUAUAAAAACUAAAAAAAU